UCCCUCUUUUCCAAGACCUUAUUUCAAAGAGGCAGUCCUGUUCAUAACUACUUGUGCAUGUACAUUAAACCCACAAAGCCAGAUUCAACAGUGAGCUGGGAGAACCCUAGAGGAAUGCAGAGAAUGCUUUGCUACAUGGAAAGGAAUCCACAAGAAGGAAAAGCCUCCAAAUAGCCUAACCAGACUUGGGAUCAGGCCCAUGAAAAUGCCAUGCUCUGGAUAAUGAUCAAAGAAGGGGCAAAAUGAAUCACCUCCAUUUCUGCAGCAAGGAGCUCUCUUGCAUCUGAAGACUGCCCCUAGGCUCUACAAGUUUGAUAACUUCCCAGCCAAUGAAUGAAUGUUCCUCUCCUCCCAAUUUUUAUCAUUCACUGACAAAUACUCUAGACACAUCCUUUGUUAAUCUGGAAGCCUUAAGAGAAAGCACACCUCUCCCUG